GUGGGCGUGAUGAUUAUUUCCCCAGAUGAUCGAAGCUGAAAUUACUGUGCUACAUACGUUUCUCUGUUUCAGAGAUCCAAGCCAGAUAAUCUGAUCCAU
rnacentral:snoRNA from 1 species